rnacentral:rRNA from 1 species
GAUGAACGCUAGCGGCAGGCUUAACACAUGCAAGUCGAGGGGUAGUCUAGCAAUAGAUGAGACCGGCGCACGGGUGCGUAACGCGUAUGCAACCUACCUUGUACAGGGGGAUAGCCCAGAGAAAUUUGGAUUAAUACCACAUGGUAUAUAGAAAUGGCAUGGUUUUUAUAUUAAAGUUCCAACGGUACAAGAUGAGCAUGCGUCCCAUUAGUUAGUUGGUAAGGUAACGGCUUACCAAGACGAUGAUGGGUAGGGGUCCUGAGAGGGAGAUCCCCCACACUGGUACUGAGACACGGACCAGACUCCUACGGGAGGCAGCAGUGAGUAAUAUUGGUCAAUGGGCGCAAGCCUGAACCAGCCAUGCCGCGUGCAGGAUGACGAUCCUAUGGAUUGUAAACUGCUUUUGUACGGGAAGAAACACUCCCUCGUGAGGGAGCUUGACGGUACCGUAAGAAUAAGGAUCGGCUAACUCCGUGCCAGCCGCCGCGGUAACAC